rnacentral:rRNA from 1 species
UACGUAGGGUGCAAGCGUUAAUCGGAAUUACUGGGCGUAAAGCGUGCGCAGGCGGUUUUGUAAGUCUGACGUGAAAUCCCCGGGCUCAACCUGGGAAUUGCGUUGGAGACUGCAAGGCUGGAGUCUGGCAGAGGGGGGUAGAAUUCCACGUGUAGCAGUGAAAUGCGUAGAAAUGUGGAGGAACACCGAUGGCGAAGGCAGCCCCCUGGGCUAACACUGACGCUCAUGCACGAAAGCGUGGGGAGCAAACAGG